rnacentral:misc_RNA from 1 species
GAAUACUCUCUACCUUUGCAGCAACAUGAACAAAAAAUCCAUGCACAUUCGACAUGACAUUUGGAAGAGACUGCAACAGAGAUGAAUUGGAGUUCAUAGAAUUCCUGUCAGAAUCUAAGGCCAUCAACUGCUCCAAUUCUUCAACCCAUUGUCGGCAUUCUACAAGAUAUUUCUCAAAUCUUGCUACGGUUUGCUGCAAAAAGGGAGAGGGCUUUUUUUGGUAU